CGCAAUGGGCGCAAGCCUGACGGAGCAAGACCGCGUGGGGGAGGAAAGCCUUUGGGUUGUAAACCCCUUUUCUCAGGGAAGAAGAAAGUGACGGUACCUGAGGAAUCAGCCUCGGCUAACUCCGUGCCAGCAGCCGCGGUAAUACGGAGGAGGCAAGCGUUAUCCGGAAUGAUUGGGCGUAAAGCGUUCGUAGGUGGCAAUUCAAGUCUGCUGUCAAAGACAGUAGCUCAACUACUGCAAGGCAGUGGAAACUGAAUAGCUAGAGUGCGGUAGGGGCAGAGGGAAUUCCCGGUGUAGCGGUGAAAUGCGUAGAGAUCGGGAAGAACACCGGUGGCGAAAGCGCUCUGCUGGGCCGCAACUGACACUGAGGGACGAAAGCUAGGGGAGCGAAUGGGAUUAGAUACCCCAGUAGUC
rnacentral:rRNA from 1 species